AGGACGAACGCUGGCGGCGUGCUUAACACAUGCAAGUCGAGCGGUAAGGCCCUUUCGGGGGUACACGAGCGGCGAACGGGUGAGUAACACGUGAGCAAUCUGCCCUUCACUUCGGGAUAAGCCUCGGAAACGGGGUCUAAUACCGGAUAUGACCGCGCUACGCAUGUGGUGUGGUGGAAAGUUCUGGCGGUGGAGGAUGAGCUCGCGGCCUAUCAGCUUGUUGGUGGGGUAAUGGCCUACCAAGGCUUCGACGGGUAGCCGGCCUGAGAGGGUGACCGGCCACACUGGGACUGAGACACGGCCCAGACUCCUACGGGAGGCAGCAGUGGGGAAUAUUGGACAAUGGGCGCAAGCCUGAUCCAGCAAUGCCGCGUGCAGGAAGAAGGCCUU
rnacentral:rRNA from 1 species